rnacentral:rRNA from 1 species
CCAAACAACUCUCAGCAACGGAUAUCUUGGCUCUUGCAACGAUGAAGAACGCAGCGAAAUGCGAUAUGUAGUGUGAAUUGCAGAAUUCCGCGAGUCAUCGAGUCUUUGAACGCAAGUUGCGCCCGAGGCUUGUCCGAGGGCAUUUCCGCUAGAGCGUCACC